GAAGAAGAAACACUACAAGAAAUUGGAGAAUGUCCGGCGCGUUUUUACCGGCUGCCAUCACCAACUGCCGGAUGCUCGGUCGACUUAAAAGUAAAAGCCCUAUCUCUCUAUCUCUCUCUUUACCUCUCACUAUCUCUCUCCCUCUCCAUCUCCGCCGUCUCGUCUCUCCCUCUCCCGUCAUCGAUCUCUCUCCCUUCCUCUCCCUCCCGCUCUCUCCUCCCUCUCCUCCCUCUCUCUCGAUCUCUCUUUCCCUCGUUUUCUUCGACGUGUUGUUCCUUCUUCGAUCUCUCUCCAACAAUCGAAGAAAAUAGAAGAACGAAGAGAAAAUCGAAGGUGUUUGAUGGAAUGCCUGUGACGAUUUUAAUCUUGUGGAAUGGCAGGUCGUGAUUCUCUUCAAUUCAUGAUUCUCUUCUUCUAUAUUUUUUUAGACAUAUUUAGUUGGUAGUAAGUAUGCCUUUGGUUGAGAGAUUGUUGUUGUUAAUCCUUCACUAACCAAGCAAGGGGCCAUGUUUGAUUGAAUUUGAUGUACAUUGUAGCUGCCAAGUGGCUGCCAUGUGUGUGCGUGCGUGUGACCAGUUGCAGCGAUUGGAAGAUAGGUGACCCAUGCUUGUACUAUCUCUGUCGCUGAUGUAGAGUGAUCUAAGGAUAAAUGGCUUUUUUGAUUCCAUUCUUCAAUCUCAUCAGUGACAGAGAUAGUGCAAGCAUGGUUUUACUAUAGUACUAAGCAUUGUAAAAAUAGAAUACUUGUUGGAGAAAUUAAUUUCCAGCUGCUAAGAACUAAAUUCCAGCCGCUAUAACACUUCCCCAUUUAGUAGUAGUUGUUUUCUAGUGAUUGGAAACUGUUUUCAACAAUUUGAAGUUGUUUUACAGUUUUUAAACAGGGGAUUGCCAAGCGGUUUGUUACUUUGAAUAUCUUAAGAAGAUGAAUUAAACACAACCACCUAUGGUAGUUCAACAAGACGACUUGCAGACCUAUUAUUUGUUAUGAAAUGGUGACACUUCUCCAAUUUAUAAUGCCCACAUCAAUUUCAAUCUGGUUGAGAAAAGAAGCUAGCUGAGCUUUAUAGUCUAUAUGACUAUUCGCAGGUCGAAAUAUGGAAGGAGAAUUUCAUAGUUUGUCUAGAAAUGGUGGAGUGUGUUAGCAAAUUUAUUUGGGUCUAUUAGUAGAAACAAUUACUUGAAUUUCCUAGUGUGUUGGAUAUUUUGUUGAUUAGGCUUUUAUUGAAUUUGGAAUGGAUUUUUUUAAGUCUUAAAAUGAUAUUUAGAUUUUAGUAAUUCAAUUGAAUUUAGUAGAAACAGAUAAUGUCUUGAGUUUUGAUGGGUGGAGGUUUUUCUAUUUACUGUGCCCGGCAACUUUGGACGGAAAUUUUGAAACAGAAGCUUGUUUUUUUUUUUCCUUCUUCCUUGAAAUGUGAGGAGGCAUUGGGCAAUUUGACUGGGUUUGGGAAGAGAAUAGAUGGCUCUCUUAACUUUGCAGGGUGGAUUUUUUAUUUUUAUUUUUCCUUUUUGGUGUGUUUUUCCAGUUAAAUCCAUCUUCAAUUGGGGGGAGGGGGUGUUGAUUCAGAAUGGAAGUUCGGUUUAUUUUUUGGGAACAAGAGUGGGGUUUGGGCUACUUUGAUUGGCCUUAUGAGGAGAAAUGUAUGAAUAAAUUGGAUUUUGGUAUGAUUUUUCUGGGUUUACUGGUUCCUUUUUUUUUUUUUUUUUUUCAUGCUUCUUCACUGGUACUUCUGUACGUAAAAAGUGAUGAAAUUUGGACAAAAUUCUCAUCAUCUGAUAUGUAACUGAAGGUGAAUUUCGGAAGUAUUGCAUUUAUGUAGAGCAAUAGAUGACUAUUCCCAGGGAUCUUUUAGGGUUAUAUUCCUUUUUCCUUCUCAUUGCAUCUAUCAGUUGGCAUUGAUGUUUUGUUUGGAGCUGAAUCUUUCUGAUUGUCUUGCAUUAGCGUGGAUUUGAGGUUUUGGUGGAGUUUAUGCAUACAUUUAAAUAUUUUCUCUUAUUCAAACAUUUAAAUAAUAUCAUAGAGAUUUACAGGUUUUUAAGGUUUGUUAACUCUCAGAUGGAAUAGGUACAUUUUUAACAGAAAUCCUCCCUCCUGUUUUUGUUAGUUUCACAGUAUUUUUCCAUCAAUGUGCCAAACCGCUCUAAUGCUCUCUUCCACCUUUGGCUUGAUAUUGCAGCUCCAAACAUCGAAUCAGGUUCAGAAGGAGCUAGGCUGUAAGAGAAUUCCUUUGUCCUUUGACAUUAGAGCGGCAUGUAGUGGUUUUUUUAUUGGGUCUGACGACUGCUGGCUUUGAUAUAAGAGUACUGCUUUGAAUUGAGCGGGUGGCUUUUGAAAUGUUCUAAUAAUUGGUGCUGAUGCGCUUUCCCGAUAUGUAGAUUGGAAAGAUAGAGGUACUAGUAUCGUCUUUGGUGAUGCUGCUGGUGUGGUAUUAGUACAGGCCUGUGAUGGUGAUGAGGAUAGCUUGCUUGGAUACGACGUUCACAGUGACGGUUAUGGCCAAAGGCAUGUUCUAUUCUCAUCUAAAGAUGAAAAAUCAUACUUAUUUCUUCUUCUUCUUCUUCUUCUUUUUCCUCCUGUUCUAAUGCUACAACACCGUCAUUUUAAAACUGCCGGUAAAGGUCAGUUUCGUUGUAGUGUCUUCUUUGGCGGAAAAAGAAAAGAGAUCAGAUUUCUUACUUGGCAUGAGCUGAAACAAAUAUUUAAUGUGUUGCAUGAGAAUAUAACCAUCCAGACGGAUGCACAAAGCCACAAGGACAUAUGGUAUGAAUGAUUCUAGGCCAAUACAUUCACAUCAUGGCCCAGCUUUUUAGUCAGUGGCUAGGGCGCUAAAUAUUUUAAUCUACAAUCCUAACCUUAAGGUAGUGGAUAUUUAAGAUAGAGAUACCUGUAUGAAUAAAAGGAUAGAGAUAAACAGUUUUUUAAAAGAAAUAGCAUGUCACUUACUCACGUGAUCCCUUUUAAGUUCUGAGAGUUUGUGUGUGU